UACGUAGGGUGCGAGCGUUGUCCGGAAUUAUUGGGCGUAAAGGGCUCGUAGGCGGUCUGUCGCGUCGAAAGUGAAAACCCAGGGCUUAACCCUGGGCCUGCUUCCAAUACGGGCAGACUAGAGGUAUGCAGGGGAGAACGGAAUUCCUGGUGUAGCGGUGAAAUGCGCAGAUAUCAGGAGGAACACCGGUGGCGAAGGCGGUUCUCUGGGCAUUACCUGACGCUGAGGAGCGAAAGUGUGGGGAGCGAACAGG
rnacentral:rRNA from 1 species